UUCCUUUCUCCUGUUUGCUUUCUCUUAAUGAAGCAAUGGGUAAAGUACCAGUGGGAUGCAUUCCAACUUCCGGUGCAGCCCCCACUGCAUCCUAUUGUGAACUCCCUGAACUCAAGAGGAGACCGCCUAGACAGAUUCAGCAGAAAAACAUUGCCGGAGGCAGAGAUUACUCUUAUCGGACUUUUUUUCUGUGGCAUUUCCCCUGAUAUGGCUCUGUGUAGAGAAGAUGAGGCCAAGUCUCUCACACAACAGAGCUUUAAAAUAACUAGCAUCGACCUGCCUUGUACAUCUUCGUUGAAGUAGAACGGAUAUCUUAAAAUGAAGGAAAGUGUUUGGCGUGUUAAGUAAGAAA